CGCUGGCGGCGUGCCUAAUACAUGCAAGUCGUACGCUUCUUUUUCCACCGGAGCUUGCUCCACCGGAAAAAGAAGAGUGGCGAACGGGUGAGUAACACGUGGGUAACCUGCCCAUCAGAAGGGGAUAACACUUGGAAACAGGUGCUAAUACCGUAUAACAAUCGAAACCGCAUGGUUUUGAUUUGAAAGGCGCUUUCGGGUGUCGCUGAUGGAUGGACCCGCGGUGCAUUAGCUAGUUGGUGAGGUAACGGCUCACCAAGGCCACGAUGCAUAGCCGACCUGAGAGGGUGAUCGGCCACAUUGGGACUGAGACACGGCCCAAACUCCUACGGGAGGCAGCAGUAGGGAAUCUUCGGCAAUGGACGAAAGUCUGACCGAGCAACGCCGCGUGAGUGAAGAAGGUUUUCGGAUCGUAAAACUCUGUUGUUAGAGAAGAACAAGGAUGAGAGUAACUGUUCAUCCCUUGACGGUAUCUAACCAGAAAGCCACGGCUAACUACGUGCCAGCAGCCGCGGUAAUACGUAGGUGGCAAGCGUUGUCCGGAUUUAUUGGGCGUAAAGCGAGCGCAGGCGGUUUCUUAAGUCUGAUGUGAAAGCCCCCGGCUCAACCGGGGAGGGUCAUUGGAAACUGGGAGACUUGAGUGCAGAAGAGGAGAGUGGAAUUCCAUGUGUAGCGGUGAAAUGCGUAGAUAUAUGGAGGAACACCAGUGGCGAAGGCGGCUCUCUGGUCUGUAACUGACGCUGAGGCUCGAAAGCGUGGGGAGCAAACAGGAUUAGAUACCCUGGUAGUCCACGCCGUAAACGAUGAGUGCUAAGUGUUGGAGGGUUUCCGCCCUUCAGUGCUGCAGCUAACGCAUUAAGCACUCCGCCUGGGGAGUACGACCGCAAGGUUGAAACUCAAAGGAAUUGACGGGGGCCCGCACAAGCGGUGGAGCAUGUGGUUUAAUUCGAAGCAACGCGAAGAACCUUACCAGGUCUUGACAUCCUUUGACCACUCUAGAGAUAGAGCUUCCCCUUCGGGGGCAAAGUGACAGGUGGUGCAUGGUUGUCGUCAGCUCGUGUCGUGAGAUGUUGGGUUAAGUCCCGCAACGAGCGCAACCCUUAUUGUUAGUUGCCAUCAUUUAGUUGGGCACUCUAGCAAGACUGCCGGUGACAAACCGGAGGAAGGUGGGGAUGACGUCAAAUCAUCAUGCCCCUUAUGACCUGGGCUACACACGUGCUACAAUGGGAAGUACAACGAGUCGCGAAGUCGCGAGGCUAAGCUAAUCUCUUAAAGCUUCUCUCAGUUCGGAUUGUAGGCUGCAACUCGCCUACAUGAAGCCGGAAUCGCUAGUAAUCGCGGAUCAGCACGCCGCGGUGAAUACGUUCCCGGGCCUUGUACACACCGCCCGUCACACCACGAGAGUUUGUAACACCCGAAGUCGGUGAGGUAACCUUUUGGAGCCAGCCGCCUAAGGUGGGAUAGAUGAUUGGG
rnacentral:rRNA from 1 species